rnacentral:rRNA from 1 species
UACGAAGGGGGCUAGCGUUGCUCGGAAUCACUGGGCGUAAAGCGCACGUAGGCGGAUCUUUAAGUCAGGGGUGAAAUCCCAAGGCUCAACCUUGGAACUGCCUUUGAUACUGGGGAUCUCGAGUCCGGAAGAGGUUGGUGGAACUGCGAGUGUAGAGGUGAAAUUCGUAGAUAUUCGCAAGAACACCAGUGGCGAAGGCGGCUCACUGGCCCGGUACUGACGCUGAGGUGCGAAAGCGUGGGGAGCAAACAGG